CCUACGGGGGGCAGCAGUGGGGAAUAUUGGACAAUGGGGGGAACCCUGAUCCAGCCAUGCCGCGUGUGUGAAGAAGGCCCUCGGGUUGUAAAGCACUUUCAGUGAGGAAGAACGCCUGGUGGUUAAUACCCAUCAGGAAAGACAUCACUCACAGAAGAAGCACCGGCUAACUCCGUGCCAGCAGCCGCGGUAAUGCGGAGGGUGCGAGCGUUAAUCGGAAUUACUGGGCGUAAAGCGCGCGUAGGUGGCUUGAUAAGCCGGUUGUGAAAGCCCCGGGCUCAACCUGGGAACGGCAGCCGGAACUGUCAAGCUAGAGUGCAGGAGAGGAAGGUAGAAUUCCCGGUGUAGCGGUGAAAUGCGUAGAGAUCGGGAGGAAUACCAGUGGCGAAGGCGGCCUUCUGGACUGACGCUGACACUGAGGUGCGAAAGCGUGGGUAGCAAACAGGAUUAGAUACCCUUGUAGUC
rnacentral:rRNA from 1 species